UACGUAGGGGGCAAGCGUUGUCCGGAUUCAUUGGGCGUAAAGGGUGCGUAGGCGGCGCGGUAAGUCGGGUGUGAAAUCUCGGAGCUUAACUCCGAAACUGCAUUCGAUACUGCCGUGCUUGAGGACUGGAGAGGAGACUGGAAUUUACGGUGUAGCGGUGAAAUGCGUAGAUAUCGUAAGGAAGACCAGUGGCGAAGGCGGGUCUCUGGACAGUUCCUGACGCUGAGGCACGAAGGCCAGGGGAGCAAACGGGG
rnacentral:rRNA from 1 species